rnacentral:lncRNA from 1 species
UUUCAAAAGGAAAAACAAGUUCAGGGCCUCGGGGGUUUCAAAAAAUUCCGGUCCUAUCUACCACUAUGACUAAUGGGAAACGACAUUGCAAUUGACAUUGCUUUUCGCAAUAUGACAUAUUAUUGGAGGGAUAUGGGAGAAUUGUCAAACAUUCACACCACGCGAGAGUUUUAGGUGGGAUAGGGGAGGAUUGUCAAGAGUUCACACCACAAGAAACUAAUGAUAGGCUUAAUUUCGUUGUCAGUUCUUUAUUUAUUUAUUUUUUUUAUUUCAUACAUUAUUGUUCUUGUAAAGGUAUAAAAGUAAAGUAAAAUACUAGGGGUGCUGUUAAGUUACAACUGAUGUAACUUGUAAUUUUUUCAAAAAUAAUGUAAAAAAUUUAAUAGGUGGUGGGACCCACAUAUUUUUUAAGAGACUUAAGUUACAGCAGUUGUAACUUAACAAAAUCUAAAUAUUAGACAAUAAUGCAUAUAAUUUGGGUUUGAUUUUUAAAAGAUUAUUUGAGUACCACCUAUCCUUAUGAUAUUAAUGUGAUUAUAUCUUAAUAUUAAAUAAUCAAAAAAAUUUUAAUUAUUAUUUGUUUUUCAUACAUUACAUAUUAGAUUUUUUUGAAUUUUAAGUUGUUGCUAAUAAAUAUUUAUGUUGUCAAAGUCAAAUUCAAUAGCUACAAAAGCAGAGAUAAUGGUAUUGUAUAUAGUUUUUAAGAAUGCAAGGAUAAGCUGGAUAAUUGACAUAAAUUCUAAUGAUUAAAAGAGCAACUAUCCCUUAAAUUAUAAUGUUAAUUUCUUUAAUUAGAAUUUUUUUUUUCAUGUGAUAUAACCACAAUUGCUACAAUUUUUUUUUAAAUAAUAAUGGGAGUUAUAAAUUAUUUAUAUAAAAUUUGGGUUGAAACUAAUGUAACCUAAAAGUGGUUGCUGAAUAACAAUAUUUGAAACUUUAGGUAAUUUUCAUGAGUCCUUUUUAUAUUCAGCAACCUGAAUUGGGGGAAAUCUGACUUGAAUUGGCGGUUGAUUUUGGUGAUGUGGCUUUUGGUUUAUGGCGGCUUUACAGUGGCGGAAGACUGGAUUUACGGUUGCCGACUGCUAGGGAUUAUGGUGGUGGUGUAAAUUGACGGAAAAAGAAGGUGUUUUGGUGGCGGCGCGUGUAGGAAGCACUCGUGGGUUGUCGUUUCGUGUGGUGACAGAGGGCAGCCAUCAAGGGCUGAAGUCGGUCGGUUUUUGGUCAACGGAGGCCGGCGAGUUUGUUGGUGGAGGUGGCUGGUGGAGAAAGUGGCUGAAUGGUGGUGGGUUGCUUGGUGGAGCCGCGGGUUUGGGUUGGUGAUUUGCGGCUGUUCAAGCGGCGGUUGAGGCAGCGAUGACUGAGGCUUGGUCAACGGUGGCUAGUGAGGUUUGUGGUUGUGUUGGCUGGCUGAUUGGCGGUGGUGGGCGGCGGUGGGGGUUGGUCUGACGGGUAGGGUUUUCAAAUUUGUAAUUUUUUGUUUUUCGAUGGAUUUGGUUUGGAUGGGUAUGGUGUAUCUAGGAAAGAUGUGUGAUUCGCACAGAAUUGCUUUGAUACCAAUUGAUGGAGCGAGCGUAGCGGAAGCAGAAUUGAUAGGGUAAGAAAUACUAGAUAUCGUUCUAGUAAUGGAUUAAGCCAACGCGAUUAGCUUACGCUUUAAUCGAAGUGUGAUUAGAUAUUGUUUUAAUCUAAAUGACUCAAUGAGAUUUUUAAUAACGCGUAAUACGAGAUUAGAUGACACUCUAAUCCAAACGACUCUAUAAGAGAGAUUUUAAUAAAUAAUACUAGAGGAAAUUAUAAAAAAAGAGUUUUAUUUAAUAAUUGAACUUGAAAUUCUGAAAACAAUGACAAGACAUCUUUAUUAUUUUUAUUACAGACGUCUUUAUUUAUAAUAAAAGAAAUCCGCUUUCCUAAGUUAACUUAAAAAGAAAUUUUAAAUUAUAAUUAUAAUGGAAAUAAAAGAUUAAGAUACAUACCAUAAUUGACUCAAACAAAAAUAGAAAACCAUAAAAUAAUAAAUAUUUUAGAAUUAUAAAUUAUCUAAAAUAACGUUAAUUAACUUCUAAAUCACUUCUUUGGUGUAAACCAUUUUGCAUCCAACCUUGCUUUAAAGGUUUGAACCAACGUUUCGAACAACAAUGUAUCAAAUUCCAAUCUAACUUAAGAUCCUGAUACAUCUACCGAUGUCCUUGUUUGAUUAGACAAUAAUGAGUCUAUCUCAUCACUUGUUACCUCUUUCUUGAAGGCUGCAUCUGUUGAAGUGAUAGCCUCGUUUAGAGUUUAAAGAUCUUCUUCCAUAUUAAAUAAAAUGGGCAUUUGAUUAAAAAAAUUUAUCUCUAUCUCCUUCUAUCAAAUAACGAAAACUAUCCAAAGGGAAAAAAAAAUUAGAAAAGUCCAUGGGUCGCAAUAAUUUAUGGUCUAUCCUCGGACCCCAUUAUCUGCCACUAUCAAUGAUGAAAAUGAAAAUAAAUGGCAUCUUCCCAAAAUGGCGAAAGAUUUUUGGGGGAUAUGGGGGAAUUGUCAAAAGUUCACACAACGCGAAACAAGUGUUACAUCCUAUUUUAUUUCAUCAUAUAAUGAUAAUAUCAAGUAAUGACAACCAUCCAAAAGUAUAAUGGGUCUUCCAAAAUUUUGAAAAUGUCGUCAACAUUUAAUCUUCAAUGCUAAAGAAGAUGAAAUGCCCAAAAAUGACAUGCAGAACCCACUCACAGACUAAAUGGCCCUGACCACAUGUAACAAACUUUGACUUUAUAUCCCUGUUGAGGCGUUAGACUGUUGGUCAUUUUGAUUGCUUUUUACAUUCCAUUUAUGCCAUUGUAGCAUUGUACUAUUCACCAUUUUAGCUGUUUAAAUGAAAUUGUUUUUUUUUCCAAAAAUAAAAUGACACCCUUCAAAUUUUAGAAAAUAGUCAUGUAGACCCCAAAAUUUUAAUAAAGAACACCAAUACCCUUUUUGACUAUAGUACUCUUAUGGUAGACACAAAUAGGGAUGGCAAUGGAUUGGAUAUGAUCCAAGAUCCACAUGAUCCAAAUCCAAUCGGAUCGGAUUUGGAUUGUUUUAAAAUAGAUUUGGAUCGGAUUUGAAUAUCGAUGUGCGGAUCUAAGACGGAUCUGGAGCAGAUCUGGAUCUAUUGUAAUAUCUAAAUCCAUAUCCAUAUCCACUCAUCUUUUAAUUUUAUUUUAUUUUGAAAGUUUCUUAACAAUUGUAGAAUUAUAAUGAUAAUAAAUUUUAUUCAUAACAUAUUAGUAGUAUUUACCAUGCAUUUAAACUCUUAAAAUUUAAAGGUUAGUUUUGUAAAUUUAAAGGUCAGCCAGCCCCAAAGCAUGUACAUGCAAUAUUCAAAUUGCAAGCCAAGUAAUAAUCUGGCAAUUUAUUUUAUUAUAUUGGCCAAAUAAUUUUUAAGGAAUAUAAUUAUUCAUAUAUUUAGUCAA